CAGAAUUGGAGGAGCGCAUGCAACAAGUAGAGAGAAGGUGAAGAAGGUUUUUAAGUGAGUAUUUUCUCCAGUUUUAUUGUUGGAGGAUUCAUCUCUCUUCCGGACUCAUUCCCUCUCGGUUGUGUGCAGACAGCGAGCGUCCAUUACAAUUAAAUGCAUCCGGACAAUUCUGCAACAGUCCCGCCAUUGACCUACUUCCGGUCAGCGCUGAGUGAGUCCACACGGCCCCUCGUCUCCUCUGAAGGUUAGAGUGAUUUUCAGCUGGUCUGCUAACCGCCAAAGAAGUCCAGAGAAGAAGAAGAAGAAGCUCAGUGCUGAGACCAGACACUUGUGGAGAGGAACGCCGUCCAUCAUUGAAUCUGACUUCAGGGCAGCUGUCUGAGGAAGAAAGAUGACUCCCCUUCUCAAGAAAUGGAGGGGCACGCCUCGUAGUCAUGACUGGCAGCAGUGUGGUAAAGAGUUCUCUUCUUCAUCAGAUUUAAAGAUGCAUAUGUGAGUUCACACUGGAGAGAAACCAUACAGUUGUGACCAAUGUGGGAAAUCCUUCAGGCACAAAAACACCUUAACACUCCACCGGCAGAUCCACACUGGAGAGAAACCACACAAAUGUAAACACUGUGAAAAAGCCUUCAGAAGUUGAGGGGAAUGCAUCACACAUGAACACAUCCACACCAGUCUGAAACCAUACAUCUGUGGGGAGUGUGGGAAGAGUUUUGGGAGUUCAUCUUCACUUGGCUGACAUGAGCUCACCCAUGCUGGAGUCAGAGAGUACCAGUGUGAGCGCUGUGACAAAAGCUUUGUUUCAGCUCACCAUCUUGAGAGGCAUCUGCGUAUCCACACCGGACACGAGCCGUACUGGUGUGUUGGUUGUGAGAAAAGCUUCACAUGGAGAUCUGAAGUGAAAACACACAAAUGUGUCAAAAUAGAGAGCUACAGUUCUUUGUAGUCUUCAAGUGUUAGACUAAUGUUUAGAUGUGUAAUUGUUCUACACUAACUGUUCAUAAAUAGAAGAAUGAAUUAGCUUUAGAAAAAGGAUAGAAGAAGAUGAAACACAGAGGCUUUUAAAACACUUGUGCUGAGUCUUGAGAGUGUUGAUGUUGUAAAUAUUUUCAUCCAAACUA